rnacentral:rRNA from 1 species
CUCCUACGGGAGGCAGCAGUGGGGAAUUGUUCGCAAUGGGCGCAAGCCUGACGACGCAACGCCGCGUGGAGGAUGAAGAUUUUCGGAUCGUAAACUCCUUUCGAUCGAGACGAAUGACCUUCGGGCUAACACCCCGGAGGAAUGACGGUACCGAGAGAAGAAGCCCCGGCUAACUCCGUGCCAGCAGCCGCGGUAAUACGGGGGGGGCAAGCGUUGUUCGGAAUUACUGGGCGUAAAGGGCUCGUAGGCGGCCAACUAAGUCAUACGUGAAAUCCCUCGGCUUAACCGGGGAACUGCGUCUGAUACUGGAUGGCUUGAGUUCGGGAGAGGGAUGCGGAAUUCCAGGUGUAGCGGUGAAAUGCGUAGAUAUCUGGAGGAACACCGGUGGCGAAGGCGGCAUCCUGGACCGAUACUGACGCUGAGGAGCGAAAGCCAGGGGAGCAAACGGGAUUAGAUACCCCGGUAGUCCUGGCCCUAAACGAUGAAUGCUUGGUGUGGCGGGUAUCGAUCCCUGCCGUGCCGAAGCUAACGCAUUAAGC